ensembl:lncRNA
CUGAUGAAAUAGGUAACAGCAGAAAGGCAAGUCAAGCUAGAAGGAGAAGAAAAAAGAUGUUUAAUCAAUAAAUUAAAAAAAAAAAAGUUUUUUAUGUAGAGUAAUUUUUAUGUUCUUAAACAAUCAGGCCACAAUACAAAUGUGAUUGCUUUUAAAUCAGGUAGUGUCUGAUGCUGGAGACUUCUUCCACACUGAAGGAACAAUGGCAAUUCUUAAGGAACAGAACAGGAGCAUAAAGGGAGAGAGAAGCAUGUAGUAUUCCUUCUGCUGCAGAAGUUCAGCAGCCCAAAGAGAAACACACGAAUGGAUACAAAUUCAGAAAAUGAAGCCUUUCAUAAAGAUAAUGUGGCGCAUUCAAUGAUCUACAGAAAUGAGGGAAAUUGUAAGCAAUUUUCUCUGCCAGUUUGGCUUUCUUUUCAUCUCUCAGAAAUAUUUUAGAGAUAACUCACAUUACUGCCUUGAAGUUUAAAGAGGAAUGGAAAUGGAUGAGUUGGAUUGUCCUUUAUCCUGCCUUUCAUAUGGGGCAAUUGUGAGCUAAAUCAGGCCACGUGGCUAUAUCUUAUGCAGGUGUAAAUGACUGAAGCGUACUUUCAAAGUGUGAUUCAGCUGUCAUAGUUUAGUUGUCUGUUUUCAGAUGAGAUGAAUUGCAUUGCAGAAAUGCCAGUUUAUUCUUAUUGACUAUAAAGGGAGCCUUGGGUGACCAGCUCAGAUAAAAGGAAAACAUAACCAAAAAUGGGAGAGAGUAUCCGAGAAAGAGUGUAUGAGCAUGUAAUGAAAGAAUGCAUCAUCACUCUUACAGGCUCUGAAGCUAAAUGAAUAUUGCAUGCACCACUGCCAUCUCACAUUUAGUAAGUACUUAUCUUUCAGCCUUCCUGUUAUCUCAGGGUAACGCGCUAUAACAGUCUACCAAGAGGAUUCACAUCAUGGACAUGAACGCACUCACAUACGUUCUUCUCCCCACUAUUCCCUCAACAUGAAGAUGAAGUUUCUCAGGAGACAAAGAACUGUUCAACACUGUUAUGAAAUCGAGGACAGAAAUCCAACUGGGAUAAUGUGCAAAGCGUGUGGAAUUAAGGCAAGAAUCACAGAAUUGCAGGAAUUGGAAGAGACCUCAAGAGUCCAACCCCUGCUAAAGCAGGUUCCCUACAACAGGUCACACAGCAGGAGAAUUCAUCUGAACCAUGAACAAAGCAGUCCAUACUGGAGUUCAGGAUUAUCUUUUUACUUCUUUCUUUGUGGACUGAAAGUAUGGAGAGGAUAAAACAAAAACAAAAACAAAAGAAACAAAAACAACCUGAAGAAGAGCCUUUGCGAAUAUAUGAUUUAUGGAAAAAAAAUGUGUAAUACGGAAUGUCAGCUCUUCUGGAGGUCUUUUGCCUUUUGGCACUCUCCAUUCAAAGGAGCACCCAAGAUUCCCAGUAUAAUCUGUGGUAUGCAUGUAUGUCUAUUUGUCAUAGCUGCUCCCAGUGGGAGUUUUAGUGCUGAAUGAAGUGUCAGUAAAGGUGCACUGCCAAUGACCAUAUUCAAACAUCCUUUCAUUAAUGCAACCUUACAGUGAUCUUAGCUCUGUCCAUGUUCCUAAGAAUUUAUUCGGAAUUACACCUUGUCUAUCUUUCCAUGAAGAUGAUGGUUGAUUAAAUGUCUGGAAAACCUUCUAAGUGUCUUUGUUUCUGUUCCACUGAAUAAGUGCUGCAACUGUUGUACGGACAGGAGAAAUAGAUAUGAAGAAGCCUUCACAACAAGGAAGGCAUUUGUGGUGUAGGUAUUUCUUUGUUUCCAAUCUGGAGCCCACUAAAUCAGCAAAGUCCCACCCAGCACUUGCUAGAAAGUGUUUUUUAGUCACUCCAGUCUGAGGUGUCUGGCACAUGUAUUUUGCUGCCCACUUUGCAUUUCUUUACUUUAGAACCUUGAAUUUGGAGUUACUUCCACAAAUGUACACCUUUAAUUUUUCACUUAAAGUAGGAUUUCAAAGAGAUUCUCUGAUUACAGCUAAAGUGGCAGUACAAGAAUACUCCUUAAUUCCUGAGUCUUGAUCCACAUCCUCACCGGGUCCAGUUCUGCAGGGCACUAUCUCCUCUCUCUCCCCAUCCCACUACAGCACGCUACUUUCCAUGAGCAGGAAGAAUCACUGAGCAGAAAAGGAUUGGAGGUAUCUUGUUAGCAGAAGCCUAAAUUCCCAGUCCAUGAACGUACACCUCCACUGCAUGACAUAGAAAUCUUUGCUCACAGUUCACAAAUACUUGCUCUGAGCCCAUCCAAGUUUGAUUGAUUGGUCAAUGUCCAUAAUAUUUAUUAUUAAUAUUAAUAUUAAACAAUGAGUUUUCUUCCAUUUAACAAAACUAAAUGGAUGGUGAUCAAAUGAAAUGAAAUAACUGGCUGAAAAUUUGGGAUGAACAGAGUUCCUUCAGCCAUCAGUUCUAGCAACCUGAUGUUCUUGCUCUCUCUUCAGUGUACUGAGACAAGAAUUUAGAGAUCAUUUCCAUUUAUCUUUCAUUUGUUCAUGUAGAAAAUAACAAACUAAAAAUUUGUAUCUGAGCAAUUUGUGAAAUGAGAAUUUUUCUAAUUCAGCAUAUGUGUCUCUUUUUAUCAUUUCAGUGGCUGAACAUCCAUACCAUCAAUGGAAAUGGAGACUAAGUCUUUAUCUGAGUCCAUAUCACAUCUAUGGGAGUUUUUCCAUUGACCUCAAUGGGUCAAAGGGAUCAAGUAUUUUAUUUUAUUUUAUUUUAUUUUAUUUUAUUUUAUUUUAUUUUAUUUUAUUUUAUUUUAUUAUUUUAUUUUUUUGUUAGAAUUUCUUUCCAUCAAGUUGGAGAAACAGGAUGUAAAUAUUGAGUCACCGUCCCCAUUGCUAACCAUGCACCAAGAUUAGCCAGUUGGACUUGGUGUGGGACUUACCUCCUAAGAGGUCAUGAUCCCCGUGACCGAGGAGCCCAUUCAGGUAGGGAUGAGUGAAUUUUUGCUUUGAAAUAGAUGUCAUCCAUCAGUAGAUACUACAAGCAAGACCUCAAGUUCCAGAAAUUUCAACACUUUCAAGUCAAGGUAAUAUCCAUUUGCUCUGCUGAAUUCAGAUCUUUAAUUUUAGAGCAGGCAGGACUUUGCAGCCUGGAAUACAUUAACACAGAGAAACAAUCAUUUAAUGUAGUAGCCAAGUAGUCAGGUCACUGACAAUUUACAGAGUAAAUACUUAGAAAUAGUCUCUAUCUUUAUUGGUGUUUAUAUUCAGAGAUAAUUAGUAACUUGUGCACAGACACAAAGUAAUUGAUGUAAUGAUUUAUUUUGAACUUGUUCUUCUCUUGCAAGAGCUGCUUACACAAGGGCAUACAUUAGCUGGUUUGUUGAAAAUAUUUAAUUUUGUAACUCUUUGCUGACCAAGUAUAAAGGCCUAGCACUAAUUGUACAUGUGGAGAAUUGACUUCAAAAUGCUGUGCAAUGAGAAGAGAAAACCUAGUGCAGAGAUGUCCAAAGUGAUGCUUGCUGUGAUACAAGGGGGUGUACUCUUCUCUCCUGUAAAUUACCAUCACCAGAGUGAGGAUCAUAAGAUGGGAGGUCACAAGAGGGAAAGUAGCCAUACUGCUACACAUCUUCAUCCUCUUCUUCUCCUUACAAACAAUGCACUCCCUUUCAGCUUAGUCCUUAUUUCUGCAAGAAAGUGCAUGAGUGCCGUGGAAUGGGGUGUGGGAAGAUCCUGUUCAAGGUUUUAUAUGGCAUAGUGGUUCAGGAAGCACUGCUAAUAUUGCAGGUAGCAACAGUGAGAAGCUAAGUGAUGUAUCAUGUUUUCUUUUCGAUUCAUGCUUAUGAUUCAGAGCUGGGAUCCAUCCUGGACUGCUGCUGGUUUGGGCUGUUGGUGAUAAAAUGCCAAAGUGCAGCUCGUUUUACAACUUACAUCUAUUGAAACUGCCAACAGAGCUCCACUGAUGGAGAGUCACACUCUUCCCAACAGCUUUUAGAGCUCAGUGAAACCAAAGCUGUGAAGAAGAUGUAAUAAAAGAAACUGAAGAGGAAGUGAAAGGGAAGAAGACUGUGUGAUUUUUGAGGAAGAAUCUACAUGCAGGUGAGGAUGGAGUCAAAGUGAGAGCACUGCACUGCAGCCAGUGAGCACAACAGCAAGUGCAGGGGAGUUGCUGCCUCAGUAUGUAGCAGGUAAAACAACGUUGCUCUGAAUGCUACUAUGCAGCAGGUAGUGAGCUCAGUACAUUUUUUGCGUGGAGCAAUUCAUCUAUACUUCAUGUAAAGCCACCCAAAAAUCCUCUGAUAAAUUAAAUUCAUAUAUAUUAAAUUCAUGCCAUCCAGAGGGAUCUGGACAGGCUUGAGAGAUAUGCCCAUGCCAACCUCAUGUAGCGCAGCAAGGCCAAAUGCAAGGUUCUGCAUCUGAGUUGGGGCAGUCCCAAGCACAGAAACAGGUUGGGUGGAGAGUGGCUUGAAAGCAGCCUUGAGGAAAAGGAUUUGGGGGUGUCAGUUGAUGAAAGGCUCAAUAUGAGCCAGCAAUGUGCGCUUGCAGCCCAGAAAGCCAACUGUAUCCUGGGUUGCAUCAAGAGAAGCGUGACCAGCAGGUCGAGGGAGGUGAUUCUGCCCCUCUACUCUGCUCUCAUGAGGCCCCACCUGGUGUACUGCCCCAGAACAAGAAGGACAUAGAGCUGCUGGAGCCAGUCCAGAGGAGGGCCAUGAAGGUGAUCAGAGGGCUGGAGCAAUUUCCCAAUGAGGAGAGGCUGAGAGAGCUGGGGCUCUUCAGCCUAGAGAAGAGAAGGAUCCAGGGAGACCUUAUAGAGGCCUUCCGGUACCUGAAAAGGGCCUACAGGAAAGUUGAAGAGCUACUUUUUAUAAUGGCAGGUAGCGACAGGAUGAGGGGAAAUGGCUUUAAAGUGGAAGAGGGUAGAUUUAGACUAGAUAUUAAGAAGAAAUUCUUUACUGUGAGGGUGGUGAGACACUGGAACAGGUUGCUCAGAGAGGCUGUGAAUGCCCCCUCCCUGUAAGCAUUCAAGGCCAGGCUGGAUGGGGCUUUAAGCAACCUGGCCUAGAGGGAGGUGUCCUUGCCUAUAGCAGGGAUCUUAAAGGUCCCUUCCAACUCAAACCAUUCUCUGAUACUAUAGUAUUACAGUGCCCAAGGUAUACCUGCUUGGCUGUCAGUAUGCACACUGGAUGUCAUGACUGGAUGCUAUUGGAAAGCAGACGGAGAGGAAAAUUUAAGCAGUAAGCAUACAAUUAAAUCUCCUCAUGCCUGGGAAGUCAUACAUGUGAAAAAGGGAAACACUGUCCUGGUCCAGAAGAGGUAGGUCUUCAGCAAAGAGCUUGAAACUGAAGGACACAACACAAAGUCUACAUGAAUAAGAUAUCAAGUGACUUAAGAGCUAAAGGUUUUCACUUAGUUUCAGUAACUUCAAAAUUUUAGAGUGUCAGUGGAAGAGCUAACAAGUACCUAGAGGCAGGAGGCAGGGAACACAAUAGUCUUGAAAUGGUCUAGGCAGAGCAGGAGACAAACAUGUGGAAGGACAAGGGAGCAGGGAAAGGGCAUUGCAAAGGGUCAUCAGUAUGAGUAGAAGCUUUCUCCAGUGUAAAACGGAGAGAAGAUUGAGGGAUGGAUUAUGUUUAGAUACAUGACUCAGACUGCUGAUUUUGAGCUCCGUUUCUGAACAAAUUGCCCCAGGACCUUCACCUGCUGCAGCCCAUGUCUGCACAGAGGUGCAUCUCCCCAGGCUGUACGCCACCUUCACCACCACUACCCUCCCUUCUCCCGAUAGGAGUCAGUCAAAAGCAGUGAUCAACAUGGAAAAGACUACAUAUUGAACUGUGAAAACAGUAAGAGAUGUACGCAUUCCUCCUUGAUGCAUGUAGCCUUUAACCUUCAGCCCAGAUUGCUGAGCCUACAUGUGCUGGGCAUGCUGGGAUCUAGGGAUGGAGGAGGAUGGCUAAGUUCACCUCUUACUUUUGUGCCUAAGGUACACGAGGAAAUAACAAUAUGAAGGCAGAUCAAAGGUCCAUCUAGCUCAGCACCUUGGUAGGGGUUGGGAGAAAUUCCUUAGGGAAGAUCCUUGAGAAUGGGCAGUAUAGCAGCUGAGGCUCCACUUAGAACAGCCUGUUGGCUUCCAGCAACUGGCAACUUACAGCCUCGCUGUCCCCAGGGUUGUGUCCAGACCACCAAGUUUAACAGCCAUUGCCUUACCUUCCCUGAAUCUGUCUAAUCCCUUCUUGGACCCAUUACUUCACAGCUCUGUAAUAGACGCUCUCACAGACACCACUUGGCAGUGAUACAUGUAUGGGAGAAACCAAGCAUGCCUGAGCUUGUUAAAGAAAAUAAAAAUACAAGACAGAGUGGACUUCCAGAGCCUUCCUUCCCUCCCAGCCCUCUUUUGAGGCCUUGGUUUCUCAGCUCCUCUGCCUACCAGGGGCUGCUUUCUGCCUCCUCUAGCUUCUUCUGCAGGCAGAAGCCCAGCCAGGAGGAUGGAAGCUGGAUGAAGCAUGCUGAUGACAACCAGCUGCUCAUCACAAGUUUUAAAGUGGCCCUGAUGCUGUAUUUCACACAAAGGCAGGUGGGCUGAGGAUGGUCCAGAUAAAUCAGGUCAUACAUCUGCUGUGGAAAGCAUGCCCCAAGGGCCAGAUGUGUUCUGCAGCACUUAUGUGCUCCACUCCUCCAAUCGCCCCAGGAGCAAGCCAACUGGGUCCCUUUAAAAUCUGCCCCUUUGGUGUUGCUACUACACCACUAAUGAUUUACCUCUGUUUAGCGCUGGCAGAAGCAGUGGCUUUGUUGACUUGGGUGUGCAGCUGGUUCCUGGACAUUCCUGGGGCAAAUCUCAUGAUUGCUGAUGCCAGUGAAAAGCUAUGCUGAGCCUGAUGGACCCACACAGCAGCAAUGGGAUCUGUCAACAGAGAUUGAUGUCAGCGUUAAAUCCAACUGUAGCUAAAGGGCAUCUCUGCUGGGUUGUGACAGUAGCAAAACCAUGUUGAAAGCCAGAUUUCAUCCAAUGCACUACGAGGGACACUUUAAAACAAGUUAAAGGGUUUUAUGACCUGAUUUGGCCUUAUUUGCUCUGAGCACUGCUGCCAUUGAGUACAGCACUAAUCUGGUUUGGUCACAGUAGAGUUCACAUUUUUAUGGGCUGAUGACAAAUUAGUAUGAGGCUCAUUUACUUUGCAUAGAACAAGCCAUCAGCUCCCAAGCUGCAUGGGCAACCAGUCCUGCUGAUGCCGAAUUACCUGCCUCUCCAAGAGCCAUUUACCUACAGCAGUCUUGCUUCAAAAUCACAAGUGACCUUCACUGAGUUUUUGAGUAUGUCCUUUGUUCUACACUCCUGGAAUCUCCUAGGGAUGUUUUGAAACUGCUGUUGGCUUCCUGGGGGAGUGGAAGCAGAUGGGUCAGUUCAGAUACAAAGAGGGCAAAGGAAUAUAAGAAUGCAUACACCCUGUGCUUCUAAAGCAUCACCUCUGGUCUGCCAUGUCACAGCUGGGACAUAAUUCUCAGGAUUUCACCUUCUUAUUCCCUUGGUCUGAUACAUUUCUUCAAGCCACCUCACAUGCAUUCUCUGGGCCUGGCCAUGUUUCACUAUGCUCGUCUUCCUCCAUCUCCCAUUAGCAAAUUCUAGCACAGUUUCACUCCACAGCUCUCAGAUUUGUCAUUGCUUCUUUUGCUGCGUGGUGUGUAGAACUCACAAUGCGGCAGGCAACAACAGGAAUCAGAAGCAAAGCAGCAGUUCUAUCAGACAGAGCUGGACUCAACAGACCAGCAGAGCCCAGAAGAACGAGGAGUCUCACAGGACAGCACAGGCAUCUGAGACGGAGGCGUGUUGCUUUGGCCAGAGCUUUCUCCUGGGGUGGCUAACGAGAGAGGUCUGCUCACACUGAGCACUGCUUGGAGACUUUCCUGGCAGUUUUUUUUAACACCUCUUCUUGUUCUCACUUGUUAUCUGUCAACAGCUGAAGCCAGUUGGCUUCAUGGAGGGCGUACAAAAGGGAGCAAUGAAGAGAGUGGAUUUCCAGUCACACAAGAACGCAGUGCUUUAACAAUGGCAACAGAUAUCCUCGGCUUAAUGUUUUGUCGUAAUACAUGGAAAGUAAGAAACAGUCCAUUGAUACUGAGCACUUUAAUGAAUAAAAAAAAAAAAACGAAAAAAGGUUUCAUUCCAGACUUUAAGAAUGCCAAUAUUGUGUAAUAAAAAUGGUAAACAGAAUGUUCGGAGCUUUUGCUUUGAGUCCCAAAAUGAAAAAAGAUGAAGCUUUAUUACUUUUUUUUUUUUUAAUACAGUCUAGAGCCUUUCACUUUGGCUGCUAAUACAAAGAUGAUGGGAUAUAACACUGUGACACAGCAGCUGCCUUUUCAAUGAGGAAAGAGCCUCCAAACUUUGGUUUGCUAGUAUGACAUUCACCAAGAGACUAUUUAAUAAAAAAACAUGUAGUAUGAGGUCAGGUAUCUACAAGCUGGAUCCGGAUCCAUUAGUACAAAUGGACUUCAAAGCUUUGAUCCAUCCGUUUCAAACUGAAGGGAUCGUGUUGGCAUGUUUUGAGAGAAUAGACAUAUGCUCUGGAUGUCCAUGUUCCUCUUCAUCAAAAUCACUUCUGUGUGGUCAAGAGGAAGCAAGUGUGAGGAUGACUUGAGACGGGCAGUGGGUGCCCAUCUUCAUGCGCUGUACAUUGAGAAUGGCUAAAAAACAAAAAUGAAUUGGAA